GGCCAGACUCCUACGGGAGGCAGCAGUGGGGAAUAUUGCACAAUGGGGGAAACCCUGAUGCAGCGACGCCGCGUGAGUGAAGAAGUAUUUCGGUAUGUAAAGCUCUAUCAGCAGGGAAGAAAAUGACGGUACCUGACUAAGAAGCCCCGGCUAACUACGUGCCAGCAGCCGCGGUAAUACGUAGGGGGCAGGCGUUAUCCGGAUUUACUGGGUGUAAAGGGAGCGUAGACGGCAUGGCAAGUCAGAUGUGAAAGCCCGGGGCUCAACCCCGGGACUGCAUUUGAAACUGUCAGGCUGGAGUGCAGGAGAGGUAAGUGGAAUUCCUAGUGUAGCGGUGAAAUGCGUAGAUAUUAGGAGGAACACCAGUGGCGAAGGCGGCUUACUGGACUGUAACUGACGUUGAGGCUCGAAAGCGUGGGGAGCAAACAGGAUUAGAUACCCGAGUACA
rnacentral:rRNA from 1 species